AAUGCCAGUCUCCGAGAAUAAUAUCCAGCUUUGUACCCCAUUGCUCACAGUAAAAAUGAUACUCGUGCACAUGUCCUUAGUUCAUCCCCGCCGGAUAUUUCUUUCAUGUGGGAUUUGAUCGACCCCGGUCUUAUGUCAUGGCAAAAUCUUUUGUCUAGAUUGGAUUCGAUUAACCUGACACAAGGAUGGGGUGUGUUCCGCUGGAACCUCACUACAUUUGGGUCCUUCACAGUUAUUUUUCAAUGUACGCACUCGCUUUGUGUAGGAUCGAGAAGAGGUGUCUAG
rnacentral:rRNA from 1 species